rnacentral:lncRNA from 1 species
ACUAUAUUUUUAUACGACCGCAAAAUUUGAAAAAUUUUUCGUCGUAUAUUGCUAUCACGUUGGCUUCGUCGUCGUCGUCUUCGUCCGAAUACUUUUAGUUUUCGCACUCUAACUUUAGUAAAACUGAAUAGAAAUCUAUGAAAUUUUAACACAAGGUUUAUGACCACAAAAGAAAGGUUGGGAUUGAUUUUGGGAGUUUUGGUCCCAACAUUUUAGGAAUUAGGCGCCAAAAAGGGCCCAAAUAAGCAUUUUCUUGGUUUUCGCACUAUAACUUUAGUUUAAGUUAAUAGAAAUCUAUGAAAUUUUGACACAAAGUUUAUGACCACAAAAGAAAGGUUGGGAUUGAUUUUGGGAGUUUUGUUUCCAACAGUUUAGGAAUUAGGGGCCAAAAAAGGGCCCAAAUAAGCAUUAUUCUUAGUUUUCGCACAAUAACUUUAGUUUAAGUUAAUUGAAAUCAAUGAAAUUUAAACACAAUGUUUAUGACCACAAAAGGAAGGUUGGUAUUGAUUUUGGGAGUUGAGGUCCCAACAGUUUAGGAAUUAGGGGCCAAAAAGGGACCCAAAUAAGCAUUUUUCUUGGUUUUCGCACCAUAACUUUAGUAUAAGUAAAUAGAAAUGUAUGAAAUUUAAACACAAGGUUUAUGACCAUAAAAGGAAGGUUGGUAUUGAUUUUGGGAGUUUUGGUCCCAACAGUUUAGGAAUAAAGGGCCCAAAGGGUCCAAAAUUAAACUUUGUUUGAUUUCAUCAAAAAUUGAAUAAUUGGGGUUCUUUGAUAUGCCGAAUCUAACUGUGUAUGUAGAUUCUUAAUUUUUGGUCCUGUUUUCAAAUUGGUCUACAUUAAGGUCCAAAGGGUCCAAAAUUAAACUUAGUUUGAUUUUAACAAAAAU